CACAAACUGCUCUCUGUUUUACUGUCACUCAUCUGGGGAUCAGUCAGAUCUUGUAACUAGCUCACCAGAAUAAUUCAGUUGCUCUGAUUCCCCCUUCCAGCCGAGCACUCUGCCACAGGGUACGGUGAACCUCAAUCUGUGCUCAGACGUCGCGGAUGCAGAGCCCAAGACGGGCCAAAGAAACGCGCUCUGCAUCGUCACACCGGAGCAGGAAAUAUUCAUCCGUGGGGACAAUAAAGAGAUCAUUAAUGGGUGGACCGAACAGCUCGCCGUCUAUCUGCGGACUAACCGGCAGACUCAGAAGAAAAAACGCAAAGUGGAACCUGUUGCCACCCAGGAUCCCAGUCCAGCAAAAAUGGCUGCAACCGAUCCCAGUUUUCCGUCCUCUCAGAACGUUGCAGAGUCCGGCUGCGGUCAGUGGAAGGAAAACCCUCAGCAGGGCAGUGGACCGGGUGAAACCCUCAUGUAUAAUGUCCCAGAUCCAGAUCCCCGGGGCCCGGACAAGACCCCUGCAGGUGCAGCAGAAGCAAAACACACACACACACAUACCCAGGCUUUUAUGUCCGUUAGCCAAUCCCAGCCACUUCCUGUCCUCUCUCUCACUGUCCUAACGUCCUGCAGAUGUUCUCACACUUCCAGCUUUGUUGUUUAUACAUUUCAUUUAACCCUCGUUUAACCAGGCAUGUUGACCCAGCACUGACUUGUAAUUAUGGGAACAGGCUAGAGGAGCUGAAGCAGGAAGUUACAUAAACAGAGACGAACAGACAGAAACACACUGUGAGAUGUGCAGGAAAAACGUCUGUUUUUAAGCUUCGGGCAUCAUAAAAGCCAAACAUGAUCCAUAAAAGAGCUCUUAAACGUCCUAAUUAGCACAGGGCAGGUAUUCUCUCCUUAGUGGAGCUUUGUGCUGCAGCACCCGUCUGGCGUCAGACUUAUUGCCGGGUCUGGACAGGUCCUGUAAUAAAGGUCUGGAUUAACUCCUGCUGACUAUAGGCUGCUUCAUUAGAGUGAUGGAGGAUGUGCAUGAGUGAGGCCGUCUAGUGGAAGAUGCUCAGUCAGGGUUCCCUCCUGCCAUCGGAUUCCUGGACCAUCAUUGAAUUCUUUAAGAUGAAACCGUUCAGACCGUGUAGUGUAACCAUUCAACCUUUUAGACAGACAACAUUAACAGACUCAUACAGUCAAAUAUUUAUACAUCUUGUUGGGCUGUGCUGAAAAGCUUUGACGCCUCAUUCAUCACGUUGACGUUCAAAUUCUAAAUCUACAUCGAUAUGCUGCGCAGCUUUUUUUAAGUGUUUCUGGUGUUUUCGUCACAGUUGCAGAUAAAGAUCAGGUUACCCUAUUUGUUGAAUUGUAUUCUAGUCGUGGCUGCCAAGGACUGUUUC